GAUGAACGCUGGCGGCGUGCCUAAUACAUGCAAGUCGAGCGAACGGACGAGAAGCUUGCGUCUCUGAUGUUAGCGGCGGACGGGGGAGUAACACGUGGAUAACCGACCUAUAAGACUGGGAUAACUUCGGGAAACCGGAGCUAAUACCGGAUAAUAUUUUGAACCGCAUGGUUCAAAAGUGAAAGACGGUCUUGCUGUCACUUAUAGAUGGAUCCGCGCUGCAUUAGCUAGUUGGUAAGGUAACGGCUUACCAAGGCAACGAUGCAUAGCCGACCUGAGAGGGAGAUCGGCCACCAGGGAACUGAGAAACGGCACAGACUCCUAGGGGAGGCAGCAGUAGGGAAUCUUCCGGGAUGGGGCAAUGGCUGACGGAGCAAAGCCGCGGGAGUGAUGAAGGUCUUAGGAUCGGAAAACUAUGUUAUUAGGGAAGAACAUAUGUGUAAGUAACUGUGAACAUAUUGACGGUACCUAAUCAGAAAGCCACGGCUAACUUCGUG
rnacentral:rRNA from 1 species